rnacentral:rRNA from 1 species
GGAUCCAGACUUUGAUUAUGGCUCAGGACGAACGCUGGCGGCGCGCCUAACACAUGCAAGUCGAGCGGGAAGCUUUUUAAGGAUUCUUCGGAUGAAUUAAAAAGUGGAGAGCGGCGGACGGGUGAGUAACGCGUGAGAAACCUGCCCUAUACAGGGGGAUAGCCAUUGGAAACGAUGAUUAAUACCCCAUAUGACCACAGUAUCGCAUGAUACAGCGGUGAAAACUCCGGUGGUAUAGGAUGGUCUCGCGUCUGAUUAGCUAGUUGGUGGGGUAACGGCCUACCAAGGCGACGAUCAGUAGCCGGCCUGAGAGGGUGACCGGCCACACUGGAACUGAGACACGGUCCAGACUCCUACGGGAGGCAGCAGUGGGGAAUAUUGCACAAUGGGCGAAAGCCUGAUGCAGCGACGCCGCGUGAACGAUGAAGGCUUUCGAGUCGUAAAGUUCUGUUCUUGGGGAAGAUAACGACGGUACCCAAGGAGAAAGCACCGGCUAAAUACGUGCCAGCAGCCGCGG